AACGAACGCUGGCGGCAUGCCUAACACAUGCAAGUCGAACGAGACCUUCGGGACUAGUGGCUCACGGCUGCGUAACGCGUGGGAACCUGCCCUUAGGUUCGGAAUAACUCGCCGAAGGGGGUGCUCAUACGGGAAAGUUUCCUCGUACCAAAGAUUUAUCGCCGUUGGAUGGGCCCGCGUUGGAUUAGCUAGUUGGUAGGGUAAAAGCCUACCAAGGCGACGAUCCAUAGCUGGUCUGAGAGGAUGAUCAGCCACACUGGGACUGAGACACGGCCCAGACUCCUACGGGAGGCAGCAGUGGGGAAUAUUGGACAAUGGGCGAAAGCCUGAUCCAGCAAUGCCGCGUGAGUGAUGAAGGCCUUAGGGUUGUAAAGCUCUUUUACCCGGGAUGAUAAUGACAGUACCGGGAGAAUAAGCUCCGGCUAACUCCGUG
rnacentral:rRNA from 1 species